UGGCGAACGGCUGAGUAACACGUAGGUGACCUGCCCCGAAGUGGGGGAUAACUCCUCGAAAGAGGUGCUAAUACCGCAUGUGACCACCCGUUCAUUCGGGUGCUCAAAGGCGCAAGCCGCUUUGGGAGGGGCCUGCGGCGGAUCAGCUAGUUGGUGGGGUAACGGCUCACCAAGGCAACGAUCCGUAGCUGGUCUGAGAGGAUGGCCAGCCAGACUGGGACUGAGACACGGCCCAGACUCCUACGGGAGGCAGCAGUUAGGGAUCUUGUGCAAUGGGGGAAACCCUGACACAGCAACGCCGCGUGAGGGAUGAAGGCCUUCGGGUCGUAAACCUCUUUUCUGAGGGAAGAAACCUGACGGUACCUCAGGAAUAAGCAACGGCUAACUACGUGCCAGCAGCCGCGGUAAUACGUAGGUUGCGAGCGUUGUCCGGAAUCACUGGGCGUAAAGCGCACGCAGGCGGCUCCGAAAGCCCAUGGUGAAAGCCCUCGGCCCAACCGAGGGAUGCCCAUGGGAACUCCGGGGCUCAGAAGACGGGAGAGGCGGAUGGAAUUUCCGGUGUAGCGGUAAAAUGCGUAGAUACCGGAAGGAACACCAGUGGCGAAAGCGAUCCGCUGGCCCGCUCUUGACGCUCAGGUGCGAAAGCUAGGGGAGCGACCGGGAUUAGAUACCCCGUUAGUCCUAGCUGUAAACGAUGGGCACUAGGUGUUGUCGGUAUCGACCCCGGCAGUGCCGAAGCUAACGCAUUAAGUGCCCCGCCUGGGGAGUACGGCCGCAAGGCUAAACUCAAGGAAUUGACGGGGGCCCGCACAAGCAGCGGAGCGUGCGGUUCAAUUCG
rnacentral:rRNA from 1 species